rnacentral:rRNA from 1 species
UACAGAGGUCCCAAGCGUUGUUCGGAUUCACUGGGCGUAAAGGGUGCGUAGGUGGUGAGGUAAGUCGGAUGUGAAAGCUCGGAGCUCAACUCCGAAAUGGCAUUGGAAACUACCUUGCUCGAGGGUUGGAGGGGGGACUGGAACGUUGGUGUAGCAGUGAAAUGCGUAGAUAUCAAGCGGAACACCAGUGGCGAAGGCGAGUCCCCUGGACAACUCCUGACACUGAGGCACGAAAGCUAGGGGAGCAAACGGG